CUUGAACGCUGGCGGCAGGCCUAACACAUGCAAGUCGAACGGUAACAGGAAGCAGCUUGCUGCUUCGCUGACGAGUGGCGGACGGGUGAGUAAUGUCUGGGAAACUGCCUGAUGGAGGGGGAUAACUACUGGAAACGGUAGCUAAUACCGCAUAACGUCGCAAGACCAAAGAGGGGGACCUUCGGGCCUCUUGCCAUCGGAUGUGCCCAGAUGGGAUUAGCUAGUAGGUGGGGUAACGGCUCACCUAGGCGACGAUCCCUAGCUGGUCUGAGAGGAUGACCAGCCACACCGGAACUGAGACACGGUCCAGACUCCUACGGGAGGCAGCAGUGGGGAAUAUUGCACAAUGGGCGCAAGCCUGAUGCAGCCAUGCCGCGUGUAUGAAGAAGGCCUUCGGGUUGUAAAGUACUUUCAGCGGGGAGGAAGGGAGUAAAGUUAAUACCUUUGCUCAUUGACGUUACCCGCAGAAGAAGCACCGGCUAACUCCGUGCCAGCCGCCGCAGUAAGAC
rnacentral:rRNA from 1 species